UACGGGGGGGGCAAGCGUUGUUCGGAAUUACUGGGCGUAAAGGGCUCGUAGGUGGCCAACUAAGUCAGACGUGAAAGCCCUCGGCUUAACCGAGGAAGUGCGCCCGAAACUGCAGAGCUCGAGUACCGGAGAGGGUGGCGGAAUUCCCCAAGUAGAGGUGAAAUUCGUAGAUAUGGGGAGGAACACCGGUGGCGAAGGCGGCCACCUGGACGGAUACUGACGCUGAGACGCGAAAGCGUGGGGAGCAAACAGG
rnacentral:rRNA from 1 species